rnacentral:rRNA from 1 species
CCUACGGGUGGCAGCAGUGAGGAAUAUUGGUCAAUGGCCGCAAGUCUGAACCAGCCAAGCCGCGUGCAGGACGAAGGCUCCAAGCGUUGUAAACUUCUUUUGUCAGGGGACAAAAGCAGGUCCGCGUACCUGUCUGAGGGUACCGGAAGAAAAAGCAUCGGCUAACUCCGUGCCAGCAGCCGCGGUAAUACGGAGGAUUCGAGCGUUAUCCGGAUUUAUUGGGUUUAAAGGGUGCGUAGGCGGUCGGUUAAGUUAGCGGUGAAAUCCCGGGGCUCAACCUCGGCAGUGCCUUUGAUACUGGUUGUCGAGAGAGGUGUGGAGGUAUGCGGAAUGUAUGGUGUAGCGGUGAAAUGCUUAGAUAUCGCACAGAACUCCGAUUGCGAAGGCAGCUUACC